rnacentral:miRNA from 1 species
CCAUUGGGAACACUCCGCGCAGCGCGGAGUUUCCCAGGUUUUGGGACGCUCCGCGCAGCACACGCGGAGUGUUCCAGCUGCGCGGAGCGUUCCAGGUUUUGGGACGCUCCGCGCAGCGCGGAGCAUCCCAUUGG